GCCUGGUUGGCUCAGUCAGUAGAGCAUGUGACUGUUGAUCUCAGGCUUGUGAGUUCAAGCCCCACAGUGGGUA
rnacentral:tRNA from 1 species